rnacentral:rRNA from 1 species
CCUACGGGUGGCUGCAGUGAGGAAUAUUGGUCAAUGGCCGGAAGGCUGAACCAGCCAAGCCGCGUGAAGGACGAAGGUGCCAAGCAUUGUAAACUUCUUUUGUCAAGGGACACAAUCAGGCUCGAGAGCCUGACCGAGGGUACUUGAAGAAAAAGCAUCGGCUAACUCCGUGCCAGCAGCCGCGGUAAUACGGAGGAUGCGAGCGUUAUCCGGAUUUAUUGGGUUUAAAGGGUGCGUAGGCGGACUGUUAAGUCAGCGGUAAAAGCCCGGGGCUCAACCCCGGCGAGCCUUUGAAACUGGCAGUCUUGAGUACAGUAGAGGUGGGCGGAAUUCGUGGUGUAGCGGUGAAAUGCUUAGAUAUCACGAAGAACUCCGAUUGCGAAGGCAGUUCACUGGACUGCAACUGACACUGAGGCUCGAAAGUGUGGGGAUCAAACAGGAUUAGAUACCCUAGUAGUC